GUAUUUCCAGAUUCUCCUGGACUUAACCAGAAGGGAUGUGAUCUGUGGCCAGAAACAAUUAUAUCCUAAUUAUACCGUUCCCGUAGGGAACAAUUAUUUUUUUUCUUUUUUUGAAAUGGAGUCUCGCUCUGUCACCCAGGCUGGAGUGCGGUGGCGCGAUCUCGGCUCACCGCAACCUCUCCCUCCCGGGUUCAAGCGAUUCUCGUGUCGCAGCCUCCCAAACAGCUGGGAUUACAGGCACGGGCCACCACGCCCAACUAAUUUUGUAUUUUUGGUCUAGACAGGGGUUUUGCCAUGUUAGCCAGGCUGGUCUCGAACUCCUGACCUCAAGAGAUCCACCCGCCUUGGCCUCCCAAGGUGCUGGGAUGAUGAUAGGCGUGAACCACCGUAACUGGCUUAAAAAAUGAUUUUCAAUGGAAAUCCCUAUGCAUUCUCUACUAGAGUCGCAAACUACUGCCUGUGGGCUGUUAACUGUUGAAGGUGUGCAGGUUCUUGGCAUCUUGAACAAAGAAUUGGACAAAGUGCACAAACAAAGCAAGGAAAGAAUGAAGCUUAACAAAAGCAGAGAUUUAUUGAAAACGAAAGUACACUCCGCAGGGUGGGAGCCAGUGGAGCAUACGGACUCAA
rnacentral:lncRNA from 1 species